rnacentral:rRNA from 1 species
GAUCCUGGCUUAGAUUGAACGCUGGCGGCGUGCUUAACACAUGCAAGUCGCGCGUGAAAGGACUUCGGUCCGAGUAAAGCGGCGCACGGGUGAGUAACGCGUGGAUGAUCUACCCAUGAGUUAGGAAUAACGGCUGGAAACGGUCGCUAAUACCAAAUACGCUCCGAUUUCAACUUCGGGGGAAAGGUGGCCUCUGCCUGCAAGCUACUGCUCAUGGAUGAGUCCGCGUCCCAUUAGCUAGUUGGUGGGGUAACGGCCCACCAAGGCGACGAUGGGUAGCCGGUCUGAGAGGAUGACCGGCCACACUGGGACUGGAACACGGCCCAGACUCCUACGGGAGGCAGCAGUGGGGAAUAUUGCGCAAUGGGCGAAAGCCUGACGCAGCGACGCCGCGUGAGGGGAAUGAAGGUCCUCGGAUCGUAAACCUCUGUCAGGAGGGAAGAACCGCCACGGUGCUAAUCAGCCGUGGUCUGACGGUACCUCCAAAGGAAGCACCGGCUAACUCCGUGCCAGCCGCCGC